GUCUGGGAGAGGCUUAGCUUUGUCUUCGGAGUUCUUCUUGUGUUCUAGGUCAGUCUCCACUGCUGCACAUACACACACACCAACAAUGACCCAAGGGAGGCGGGACACCUCAACCCCAGCCAGCCCCUGCUUCCUGGAAGUGCUGACCGCUGCUGUCUCUGGAAGGUGCCCUCAACCUUAUGAUGACGCAAGAGCAGAGAUGUGUUAGUUGUAGCAAACACCUGGCGCUCUGAAUCAGGGCCUCUCCCGGUUGGUGUUUUUGGUCUCAAAGAUCUUCCUCCCUCUCAUGUUACACUGGCAGACUGCGCUGGGAAAGGUGCUGGACAUCGCUUCAUCCUGUUCUCCCUGGAUGAUCUCUGCCAGCUGGUCCAUUAAACAUUUAUGCAGAUAAUACCCUGGUGGCCUGCCUGUGAUCUCUGGACCUGCUGGAGUUGCAGGAGAGGACCCUACAGAAGCCUGGCAACAUUUUCCCAGGCAUCAAGAGAAAGGAGGACUAUUGCUCUCUCUCUUCCACAAAGUCUUGCUAUUCAAAGUGAGAUUGUGAAGCCAGGCAUAGCGGCUCACGCCUCUGAUCCACGCACUUUGGGAGGCUGUGGCGGAUGGAUCACUUGAGUCUGGAGUUGAGGCCAGCCUGGCCAAAAUGGUGAAACCCCAUCUCUACUAAAAAUACAAAAAAUUAGCCGGGCAUGGUGGCACACAUCUGUAAUCCCAGCUACUUGGGAGGCUGAGGCAGGAGAAUUCUUGAACCAGGGAAGUGGAGAUUGCACUGAGGUGAAAUCAUGUCACUGCACUCCAGCUUGGGUGACAGAGUAAGAC
rnacentral:lncRNA from 10 species